UACAGAGGUCUCAAGCGUUGUUCGGAUUCAUUGGGCGUAAAGGGCGCGUAGGCGGCGGGGUAAGUCGGGUGUGAAAUCUCAGAGCUCAACUCUGAAAUGGCACUUAAUACUGCUCUGCUAGAGGACUGGAGAGGAGAUUGGAAUUCACGGUGUAGCAGUGAAAUGCGUAGAUAUCGUGAGGAAGACCGGUGGCGAAGGCGGAUCUCUGGACAGUUCCUGACGCUGAGGCGCGAAGGCCAGGGGAGCAAACGGG
rnacentral:rRNA from 1 species